CCUACGGGAGGCAGCAGUCGAGAAUCAUUCACAAUGGGGGAAACCCUGAUGGUGCGACGCCGCGUGGGGGAAUGCAGGUCUUCGGAUUGUAAACUCCUGUCAUGUGGGAGCAAAUUAAAAAGAUAGUACCACAAGAGGAAGAGACUGCUAACUCCGUGCCAGCAGCCGCGGUAAUACAGAGGUCUCAAGCGUGGUGCGGAAUAACUGGGCGUAAAGCGUGCGUAGGGUGUUUCGUAAGUCGGGUGUGAAAGGCGCGGGCUCAACCCGCGGACUGCAAAUGAUACUGGGAGCGUAGAGUACAGGAGAGGGAGGCGGAAUUCGUGGUGUAGCAGUGAAAUGCGUAGAGAUCAAGAGGAACACUGGUGGCGAAGGCGGGUUACUGGACAUUAACUGACGCUGAGGCACGAAGGCGAGGGGAGCAAAAGGGAUUAGAUACCCUGGUAGUC
rnacentral:rRNA from 1 species